rnacentral:rRNA from 1 species
GAUUAGAGUUUGAUCCUGGCUCAGGAUGAACGCUAGCGGCAGGCCUAACACAUGCAAGUCGAACGGGAUUUAAUAGCUUGCUAUUAAUGAGAGUGGCGCACGGGUGAGUAACGCGUAUGCAACCUACCUUAUACUGGGGAAUAGCCCGGAGAAAUUCGGAUUAAUACCCCAUAGUAUUAUUGAAUCGCAUGGUUUAAUAAUUAAAGAUUUAUCGGUAUAAGAUGGGCAUGCGUCCUAUUAGCUAGAUGGAGAGGUAACGGCUCCCCAUGGCUACGAUAGGUAGGGGUUCUGAGAGGAUGGUCCCCCACACUGGAACUGAGACACGGUCCAGACUCCUACGGGAGGCAGCAGUGAGGAAUAUUGGUCAAUGGACGGAAGUCUGAACCAGCCAUGCCGCGUGCAGGAAUAAGGUCCUAUGGAUUGUAAACUGCUUUUAUUUGGGAAUAAACCUCCUUACGUGUAGGGAGCUGAAGGACCAAAGAAUAGCACC